rnacentral:rRNA from 1 species
CAGCCGUAAACUAUGCUCGCUAGGUGUCAGGCAUGGCGCGACCGUGUCUGGUGCCGCAGGGAAGCCGUGAAGCGAGCCACCUGGGAAGUACGGCCGCAAGGCUGAAACUUAAAGGAAUUGGCGGGGGAGCACAACAACGGGUGGAGCCUGCGGUUUAAUUGGACUCAACGCCGGACGACUCACCGGGGACGACAGCAAUAUGUAGGCCAGGCUGAAGACCUUGCCUGAAUCGCUGAGAGGAGGUGCAUGGCGUAGACGUCU